GACAGAGGUCCCGAGCGUUAGGCGGAAUCACUGGGCUUAAAGCGUGUGUAGGCGGACUUCUAAGUACCUUGUGAAAUCCCACGGCUUAACCGUGGAACUGCUGGGUAUACUGGUUGUCUUGGGCCAUCUAGGGGCUAGCGGAACAAACGGUGGAGCGGUGAAAUGCGUAGAUAUCGUUUGGAACGCCAAUGGUGAAAACAGCUAGCUGGGGAUGUGCCGACGCUGAGACACGAAAGCCAGGGGAGCGAACGGG
rnacentral:rRNA from 1 species